rnacentral:rRNA from 1 species
UACGUAGGGUCCGAGCGUUGUCCGGAAUUAUUGGGCGUAAAGAGCUCGUAGGCGGCAUGUCGCGUCUGCUGUGAAAGACCGGGGCUCAACUUCGGUUUUGCAGUGGAUACGGGCAUGCUAGAGGUAGGUAGGGGAGACUGGAAUUCCUGGUGUAGCGGUGAAAUGCGCAGAUAUUAGGAGGAACACCGAUGGCGAAGGCGGGACUCUGGGCUGUAACUGACACUGAGGAGCGAAAGCAUGGGGAGCGAACAGGAUUAGAUACCCGGGUA